AUCCAAUAAACUUCAUCUUUUAUCCCAAUGUACUUUACUAACCCCUCACUUUGCCCGCAGCAUUGCACAGUAAAAGUUAUGAUUAUUUAUCAACAACAAUCAUGAUUAUAAUGAUAAUGUUAUCAUGCUUGUUAUUGCUCUUAUCUCAACAUAUAAUAUUGUUGUUGUAAUGUCUCAUAACCAUGUGAGUUACUUGAAGCAUUUCAAUGACAAUUCAACAAUUCAAUUUUAUUCAUAUUUUUACCCUGCAAUAAUCAACUUUGUUAUUAAUAAAUAAUAACAUUGCUUAUUAUUGCUAUUUAUAUUAAUAUUUUGUCAAUUAAAUUUGGCGCUCCUUAUCCUUCUUGGACGAUCAGCUUUGCCGCUCACUGUUGCCAUUGCUACAAGAUAUCCAACCAAAUGUUUGACAGUUUUGUUGAAUGCUGCUUAAUUGUAAUUGAUGAGAUUAAAUGCUAGUUUUAACUGUUUGUAUCAUCAAAAUGGCAAUACCCAAUGGUUCCUAUUAACACGAGUAACUUCAAUUGGCCUCCAGAGAAAUCAAAAUAUUAAUGAUGACGGUGGUGAUGAUGGUGAUGAUGAUAUUGUUGAACUAAUAUUGAGCUGUAAGUGGCAAAUUAUCUUUCCUUACUUAAUCUAACCUCAUUUGGAAAGGUAAUAUUAUCAUUCUUGUUGUUUCUCGUGCUGUUGUUACUGUUUGUCAAUAAUUAUGUUGUCCUCAAGGCCAUAAAUGACCUAACAUCAAGUAUCAAUAUCAAUUCUGAUUAAGCUUACAGUGUACCAUGAGACAGAAAAGGGUGAGAACAGGUUCAACUCGAUGAAUUAUUAUUCAAUUAUUAGCAUACUUGGUGAAUUAUGAAGUAAAGCUUGGGAAAUGAAUGAAACAGAUAAUGUGGCCAUUAUGAUUCCGUGUUGAUUGUGUCCCUCAAAUGAACCAGACAGAUCCUGAAUAUAAGGAAAACAAAAAAGGAAUCAUCAUCGACGUCGUUGUCGCCGUGAUCGUAGUUCUCAUUGAAAUCAACUCUCUCUCUUCCUUAUUUCUCAACAAUUUAUUUUACAUCAAUUUUCUUGUCUCUCUUCCUCUUUCUC